UCUGUUUUCAGCUGUUAUCAGAGAUAAUUUUUUUUUAUCUGAAUGCUAUAUCUGUAUGGUAGGGCAAACACCUAAUUACCAAAAAUCUGCUCUCCUUAUUGUGCUGUGAAUCACCUCCUCCCCUCUGAAGCCCCAGGCUCCUAUCCCAUUCCUUAGCUCAGGAUGGUCUAUACGCAGCAACUCCUCAGCUUGCCCCUGAGUAUCAUAUUUUCAUGGCGCUCCUCAUACAUAUGUAAUUAUAUUUGUUUUUUCCUGCCUAUCUGUCAUAUGGUAAUUUAAUUAUUAGACCACCAAAUAAUGUUGAAGGGAAGAAGGAAAUUUUUUUCCUCCCCAAUAAUAUGUUCUUAUGAAAUAUUACAGGAAAAGAAUAAGAUCUUAAAAGCCUUCAAAGGAGAAAAAUAAUUAUCAGCAAAGGAGCAGAACCUGAUUUGUAUUAGAUUUUAUUAUAGCAAUACUGGAUACAAGAAGUCAAUAAAGCAAAUUUCCAAAGUAGCCAAUGAAAAUAAGUUUGAAUCUGAUUUAAAUUUGAAUCUAAACAACUAAAAUACCCACCAAUAACAGGAUGAUCAGAUGAGACACAUUAUAGUCAUAUUACAUGCUAUUAUUCAGCAGUUAAAUAUAAUGGCGUCUCUAAGACAUUUUAUUAGUGAAAAAGCAAGUUACAGAAAUAUAUAUGUCAAUCAUGGCUCAACUGGAGAAAGAGAAUCAGUAAGAAAUAUAUAAUAAGAGAUUUAUUGCAAGGACUUGGCUUAUGCAAUUUUCAGGGCUGGCUAGGCAAGCCGGAAAAACAUAGGGCAGGCCAUUAGGAAGGAAUGUGUCUGCAAAUGUCAGACACAAACUGAAACUGCUUCCUCCAGACAGAAUUUCUUCUUCAGGGAAGAUGAAGUUCUUCUGUUCUCACGACCUUGCAAAUAGCUGAAUCAGGUCCACCCAGAUUAUCUAGGAUAAUCUUCCUUCCUGAAAAUCAACUGGUCAUGGACUUUAAUCACAUCUACAAAACACCCUCAAAGCAACACCUAGAUUUUAUUUUUAAGCAAUCUCUAUAACCACGUUGGGCUCAAACUUAC